AUAACAAUACAGGACUCUUUCGAGGCCCUGUAAUUGGAAGGAGUACACUUUAAAUCCUUUAACAAGGAUCUAUUGGAGGGCAAGUCUGGUGCAGAGCGACUGACCCAUGCGUGCUGCAGCUGAAA